UUGAAAGCUAAAUCUUAAUUUCUAUUCGAUCUUUGGCACUGGAAUGAAGUCUGGACGAAACCAGGACAACAGCAUCCUGCUGCUGCUAGGAUUGGCACCAAUUGCUAAAACAUGCCUCCUGAAAUUACUGGAAAUAGUUGUCGGUCUCCCCUAAAUUCGAGGAUGGAUCAACAAACAAGAUUGAUAAUAAGGAUAUCUAUCUGAAAUUCACAUAACAUGACACCACCUCCCACAUUACAACUAGCUCAUUUCUUGCAUGCUUUGCAAGUUACAACACUGAUGUUUCGUGUCUGUACAAACAGUCAAACAAAGAACAUUACUUCACUCACAGAAGAUCAAGUUGCCUAGUAACAAUUUUAUGAUUGUACAAGUUACAUGCCCACAGCUACCUGCCAAGUUUUUAUUUCAAUUUUUCUUGAAGCACUCCAAAGCAGCAAACGACGAUACCCCUGCAUGACUCCUGCUCGCCACCACCAUCCCUCCCCCCCCCCCAACCACCCAUAUUUUCCCUCUUGCCUUCCUCACUAUCCUGCAUACGCACCUCACCACCAUCUCCAACUCAUCCGAGAUCCCAAAUCCCCCAUUAUCAUGAUCCAACCUCAGGCCCAAUGCCACACCCAGUUCCCUCGACAUCAUAAAGGCAUUCAGGUGCUGCUCAGCAUUAAAGUGGCCACCUGAGAACAGGCACCCUAAGGCCUAAACCACAA
rnacentral:lncRNA from 1 species